rnacentral:rRNA from 1 species
GAUGAACGCUGGCGGCGUGCCUAAUACAUGCCAGUCGAGCGAACAGAUAAGGAGCUUGCUCCUUUGACGUUAGCGGCGGACGGGUGAGUAACACGUGGGUAACCUACCUAUAAGACUGGAAUAACUCCGGGAAACCGGGGCUAAUGCCGGAUAACAUUUAGAACCGCAUGGUUCUAAAGAGAAAGAUGGUUUUGCUAUCACUUAUAGAUGGACCCGCGCCGUAUUAGCUAGUUGGUAAGGUAACGGCUUACCAAGGCAACGAUACGUAGCCGACCUGAGAGGGUGAUCGGCCACACUGGAACUGAGACACGGUCCAGACUCCUACGGGAGGCAGCAGUAGGGAAUCUUCCGCAAUGGGCGAAAGCCUGACGGAGCAACGCCGCGUGAGUGAUGAAGGUCUUCGGAUCGUAAAACUCUGUUAUUAGGGAAGAACAAAUGUGUAAGUAACUGUGCACGUCUUGACGGUACCUAAUCAGAAAGCCACGGCUAACUACGUG